AUUGAACGCUGGCGGCAGGCCUAACACAUGCAAGUCGAACGAGUGGCGGACGGGUGAGUAAUGUCUGGGAAACUGCCCGAUGGAGGGGGAUAAAUACUGGAAACGGUCGCUAAUACCGCAUACCAUCGGAUUUACCCAGAUGGGAUUAGCUGGUUGGUGGGGUAACGGCUAACCUAGGCGACGAUCCCUAGCUGGUCUGAGAGGAUGACGAGCCACACUGGAACUGAGACACGGUCCAGACGCCGAGGGGAGGCAGCAGUGGGGAAGGUUGCAAAAUGGGCGAAAGCCUGAUGCGGCCAUGCCGCGUGUAUGAAGCAGGCCUUCGGGUUGUAAAGUACGUUAAGCGAGGAGGCGUUACUCGCAGAAGAAGCACCGGCUAACUCCGUGCCAGCAGCCGCGGUAAUAC
rnacentral:rRNA from 1 species